rnacentral:rRNA from 1 species
AACGCUAGCUACAGGCUUAACACAUGCAAGUCGAGGGGAAACGACAUCGAAAGCUUGCUUUUGAUGGGCGUCGACCGGCGCACGGGUGAGUAACGCGUAUCCAACCUGCCCACCACUUGGGAAUAACCUUGCGAAAGUAAGACUAAUACCCAAUGAUAUCCCACGAAGACAUCUGAAUGGGAUUAAAGAUUUAUCGGUGAUGGAUGGGGAUGCGUCUGAUUAGCUUGUUGGCGGGGUAACGGCCCACCAAGGCAACGAUCAGUAGGGGUUCUGAGAGGAAGGUCCCCCACAUUGGAACUGAGACACGGUCCAAACUCCUACGGGAGGCAGCAGUGAGGAAUAUUGGUCAAUGGGCGAGAGCCUGAACCAGCCAAGUAGCGUGCAGGAUGACGGCCCUAUGGGUUGUAAACUGCUUUUAUAAGGGAAUAAAGUGAGUCUCGUGAGACUUUUUGCAUGUACCUUAUGAAUAAGGACCGGCUAAUUCCGUGCCAGCAGCCGCGGUAAUACGGAAGGUCCGGGCGUUAUCCGGAUUUAUUGGGUUUAAAGGGAGCGUAGGCCGGAGAUUAAGCGUGUUGUGAAAUGUAGAGGCUCAACCUCUGCACUGCAGCGCGAACUGGUCUUCUUGAGUACGCACAACGUGGGCGGAAUUCGUGGUGUAGCGGUGAAAUGCUUAGAUAUCACGAAGAACUCCGAUUG